rnacentral:rRNA from 1 species
UACGGAGGGUGCAAACGUUGCUCGGAAUUAUUGGGCGUAAAGCGCACGUAGGCGGACCAUCAAGUCGGAUGUGAAAUCCCUGGGCUCAACCGAGGAAGUGCAUCCGAAACUAACUAGCUAGAAGAUGGUAGAGGAAGGUGGAAUUCCUAGUGUAGAGGUGAAAUUCGUAGAUAUUAGGAGGAACACCAGAGGCGAAGGCGGCCUACUGGGCUGCACCUGACGCUGAGCCGCGAAAGCCAGGGGAGCGAACGGG